AGUGGCGGACGGGUGAGUAACACGUGAGCAACCUACCCUGGAUGGGGGAUAACAUCUGGAAACGGAUGCUAAUACCGCAUAAUAUCGAGAGUCGGCAUCGGCUUUUGAUCAAAGGAUUUAUUCGCUUUAGGAUGGGCUCGCGUCCGAUUAGAUAGUUGGUGAGGUAAAGGGCUCACCCAAGGUCUGCGAUCGGUAGCCGGACUGAGAGGUUCGAUCGGCCACAUUGGGACUGAGACACGGCCCAGACUCCUACGGGAGGCAGCAGUGGGGGAUAUUGCACAAUUGGGGGGAAACCCUGAUGCAGCGACGCCGCGUGAGUGAAGACGGCCUUCGGGUUGUAAAGCUCUGUUGAGGGGGACGAUAAUGACGGUACCCCUUUAGAAAGCCACGGCUAACUACGUGCCAGCCGCCGC
rnacentral:rRNA from 1 species